rnacentral:rRNA from 1 species
AUUGAACGCUGGCGGCAUGCCUUACACAUGCAAGUCGAACGGCAGCACGGGUGCUUGCCCCUGGUGGCGAGUGGCGAACGGGUGAGUAAUACAUCGGAACAUGUCCUGUAGUGGGGGAUAGCCCGGCGAAAGCCGGAUUAAUACCGCAUACGAUCUACGGCUGAAAGCGGGGGCCCUUCGGGCCUCGCGCUAUCGGGUUGGCCGAUGGCUGAUUAGCUAGUUGGUGGGGUAAGGCCUACCAAGGCGACGAUCAGUAGCUGGUCUGAGAGGACGACCAGCCACACUGGGACUGAGACACGGCCCAGACUCCUACGGGAGGCAGCAGUGGGGAAUUUUGGACAAUGGGCGAAAGCCUGAUCCAGCAAUGCCGCGUGUGUGAAGAAGGCCUUCGGGUUGUAAAGCACUUUUGUCCGGAAAGAAAUCCUUGGCCCUAAUACGGUCGGGGGAUGACGGUACCGGAAGAAUAAGCACCGGCUAACUACGUG